UUGAACGCUGGCGGCAGGCCUAACACAUGCAAGUCGAGCGGUAGCACAGAGAGCUUGCUCUCGGGUGACGAGCGGCGGACGGGUGAGUAAUGUCUGGGAAACUGCCUGAUGGAGGGGGAUAACUACUGGAAACGGUAGCUAAUACCGCAUAAUGUCGCAAGACCAAAGUGGGGGACCUUCGGGCCUCAUGCCAUCAGAUGUGCCCAGAUGGGAUUAGCUAGUAGGUGGGGUAACGGCUCACCUAGGCGACGAUCCCUAGCUGGUCUGAGAGGAUGACCAGCCACACUGGAACUGAGACACGGUCCAGACUCCUACGGGAGGCAGCAGUGGGGAAUAUUGCACAAUGGGCGCAAGCCUGAUGCAGCCAUGCCGCGUGUGUGAAGAAGGCCUUCGGGUUGUAAAGCACUUUCAGCGGGGAGGAAGGCGGUGAGGUUAAUAACCUCAUCGAUUGACGUUACCCGCAGAAGAAGCACCGGCUAACUCCGUGCCAGCAGCCGCGGUAAUACGGAGGGUGCAAGCGUUAAUCGGAAUUACUGGGCGUAAAGCGCACGCAGGCGGUCUGUCAAGUCGGAUGUGAAAUCCCCGGGCUCAACCUGGGAACUGCAUUCGAAACUGGCAGGCUAGAGUCUUGUAGAGGGGGGUAGAAUUCCAGGUGUAGCGGUGAAAUGCGUAGAGAUCUGGAGGAAUACCGGUGGCGAAGGCGGCCCCCCUGGACAAAGACUGACGCUCAGGUGCGAAAGCGUGGGGAGCAAACAGGAUUAGAUACCCUGGUAGUCCACGCCGUAAACGAUGUCGAUUUGGAGGUUGUGCCCUUGAGGCGUGGCUUCCGGAGCUAACGCGUUAAAUCGACCGCCUGGGGAGUACGGCCGCAAGGUUAAAACUCAAAUGAAUUGACGGGGGCCCGCACAAGCGGUGGAGCAUGUGGUUUAAUUCGAUGCAACGCGAAGAACCUUACCUGGUCUUGACAUCCACAGAACUUUCCAGAGAUGGAUUGGUGCCUUCGGGAACUGUGAGACAGGUGCUGCAUGGCUGUCGUCAGCUCGUGUUGUGAAAUGUUGGGUUAAGUCCCGCAACGAGCGCAACCCUUAUCCUUUGUUGCCAGCGGUUAGGCCGGGAACUCAAAGGAGACUGCCAGUGAUAAACUGGAGGAAGGUGGGGAUGACGUCAAGUCAUCAUGGCCCUUACGACCAGGGCUACACACGUGCUACAAUGGCAUAUACAAAGAGAAGCGACCUCGCGAGAGCAAGCGGACCUCAUAAAGUAUGUCGUAGUCCGGAUUGGAGUCUGCAACUCGACUCCAUGAAGUCGGAAUCGCUAGUAAUCGUAGAUCAGAAUGCUACGGUGAAUACGUUCCCGGGCCUUGUACACACCGCCCGUCACACCAUGGGAGUGGGUUGCAAAAGAAGUAGGUAGCUUAACCUUCGGGAGGGCGCUUACCACUUUGUGAUUCAUGACUGGGGUG
rnacentral:rRNA from 1 species